rnacentral:tRNA from 1 species
UUUUCCGUGGUGUAGUGGUUUUCACAUCCGCCUAACACGUGGAAGGUCCUCGGUUCGAUCCCGGAUGGAAACA